CACAUGGCAGCGAAUGGACCAAAAGUCACAGCUGCGCUUCCCGCUCAAGAUGCCUUUUGGUCAGGAACGGGGACAAAAGCCGAAUCUCCCCGUUUAGGAUAAAGAGAGCGAGCAAGCACGCGGCCUCCCCCUCCCCUCAGUUUGGCCCCGCUCCCCCCCCCCCCGGGGCGUGCGUUUCCUCUUUCCUGCUGACCUGUUUCCCCUCCUCUCCCCCGCCCCAGCCUCGGUGAGCAGCCCUCCUGUCACUCAGCCGCUCGCGCCCUCGCGCGCCGCUCGCCGUGGGAGGAGCCGCCGGAGGAAGCCGAGGGCUGGGACGCGGCGCAGCCCGAGCAUGGACCUGCCACCGCGAGCGGGGACAGCGCCGGCGACCGCGGCUCCCCGAGGCGACUGAAAAGAAAAGAAAGAAGACAACUUGGGUCGGUUGGCUGCUGCUUUCCAGAGGCCCCGACGAGCGAGGCCGCCCGGAGGGACGGACGGACAGACGGAUGGUCGGCGCGAGCCGGAGGGGACCGGCGGCCGCGGCUGAGCAGGGCGAGUCGCGGAGGACGAGAAAGUGACUGCACCCCCAAGUUGCCCCGCCGACUCCCCUCGCCUGGCGAAAGGAAUGAGACCUUUCCAGCUCGACCUGCUCUUCAUCUGCUUCUUCCUCUUCAGUCAAGGGAGAAGCCAAGUGAAAGCAAGGUCCCAUGUCUCCUUCCUCCGGGGCUGGUGAUGACUGCAGAUUUUCUCCUUAUCUGUGCUGUUCAAACUUUGCUUAUGACCAUCCUGGCUAAACUUGAGGGCGCCCUUCCCCCAUGUGAGUAUGUGUGUACCCAAUCCCGUG
rnacentral:lncRNA from 1 species